CGGCCUGGCGGCCUGGCGGCCAGUGCAGCUCAGCUGCCGGCCUGCCUUCACGGGCCGCCAUGCCCCGAACGGCCCGUGGGCCGCAGGCGUGCCGUGCCGGCACGGGCACGGCCCGGCCAUCCACGGGCCGUGCUUGGGCCGGCGGCUCGGCACGUGGGCCGGCACGGCACGGCCCGUUUCAUCAGCCGUGCCUAACGGGCCGUGCCGGACCCGUGCCCAUGCCGGGCCGGGCCGUGCCGCCCGUUUGGACACCUAUAGCCACGCUCUAAAGGGCCUCAAGCUCAGAUUCGUCUUGUAAUCUGGCAAAGCAGCAGCCGAUCGAAACGGGCGAGCCGAGACGCACGAGGCGGGGCUAGCCGCAGGCGCCAAGGCCGCCCUCCACACCGCAGAAUAGUUGGGCAACUCGGCGAAGAAAUUUCCAGCGUCUUCCACCUCGACGUAGCCGGCGAGCGGCCACCUUCGCGAACCUGGGCCACAUCGGGAACGAAGGCCAUAUCUAUUCCGCGGACGUGCGACCUCAGCACCAGGCAGAACUGCAGAGCUAAUCUCUUCCAUGCCAUAAUCAGCAAAAAAUUGUUAAUCUUCCCAAACAAAUGCAUUGAGAAAACUGAUAGAGGAAUCUACUGUUUUCAUUGAUAAACUACCAAGCGUGCUCCUCAGAAGGCAGAACGAAGUAGAAAGAAAUCACAUUCCGCAACUAAUUGAUCGAUGAGAGAGAACGAAGAAACUAGGGAAGAAAUUAGCGAGCUGCAAUUAACACACAAGCUAGAUCUAUGCACAAUCAGUAGUAUUUUUAUGAUAAAUUCAUGCACGGAGCAAUUACGUACGUUCCAGCCUGCAGACUUGACACAUACAAACUCUGUAGGCUUGCUAUUUCACUCGGAGGAGUCAGCUAUGAACCUGAUUAGUGAUUACCUGAAGAAAGUAUGAGUGUCACCGGUGCCGACCGCCGGGUCGCCGUCGCCGCAUUCUCCUCCGUACCCGCCGGGCUGCUGCAGCUGGCCCCUCCUCGCCAUUUAAUCGGCUGCUGCUUCGCAAGAUUAGAAGACAACUGGUUCCUCCCAUCCGUGCCGGAGUCCGAGCUCGAGUCCCUCCAACUCUCCAAGAGUUUGGCCCACGCGGGCGCCGGUGACGAGCGUGACGAGGUGGGGAAGACGACGGAAAAGCUGGCGUUGGGGACGGACGGACGGAUCGGCGACGGAGUGGCACGGAAUAAAGGAAUUCGCUAUCUCAGUGCAAAAUCUGAAAGAAGUGCGUAUUGAGUGGCUUGCCCUGAAAGGUCUACGAAUUAGAUGGCAUAUAUCCCCUAUCGCCCUCAAAUCGUCUGUUUCGUUCACUCCUGCCGUCGAUUUGGAGGGGAGAACCCUAGGCAGUGGUGGCGCAACCAUGGAGGCGGAGCCCUUCGAUGAGGUAACUCCCCAGAGUCCCAGUCCAGUCUCCCCUGUCGCUUCAAGCUGCAAAAGUUGCACUAUAUCGUCGUCGCCUCGUACUGCGUUGGGUCCCACCUCCGCUUUCACCAUCGGCAUCGCGUCCUCCCACCUCCUCCUUCACCACCGGCACCGCUACAUACCGUCAUCAGAUGCGCAACGGCUGUGGAAGCUCCCUCUCCAGUACUGUGGCUGGCGGCUCAGCGACGACAUGCAGCUGUGCAGGACAGGAGCAACCAAGAGGUUGCGAUUCAGUUGGGUGCAGUGGGCAGAGGCGUGAGCUAACGCUUGCCCAUAGACAUGCAACUAUAGCAGACCAAGCCCAACAAAACAAAUGCUAUCUUCUUUGCCUUCCUCAUAUCAUGAUGCAGCAACAGCAGCAGCACAUAAGCGAGGCAGAACGGCCGACAGGUGUCUCCAUGAGGAACACUAGGCGUUUUCCCCACAUCAGGCAGCAGCAGCAGCAGCACAGCAAUGGGUGUUUUGUUGAGGAAAGAUAAGCAAUCAGAGAUUUUGAUACAACGAGUCUUUGAGGCUGAGGGUUGUUCUGCUCAUUGGUGUGCCGUGCCUGUUGGGCAGGGUUUUGGGAUUCGAUUGCAGAAAAAAUUCGGAGUACGUCCACCGAAAUGGACGAAUUUCGGAAAAUUCGGAUGAAAUUUGGUCAAAUUUAAACCAAAUUUGAGAAAUUUUGGUAAAACUGAACCAUAUUUAGGCGAAAUAGGAGUGAAUCUUUGUCUCGGACCUCAUUGAAAUGGGUGAAAUUCACCGAAAUUCGGAUCUUUCGGACCGAAUCCCAGAACCUUGCUGUUGGGCGCUGGGUACUAGCCCGCUGCCGCCUAGGAUUGUUGAUCUUACAAUCUUCAGGUAUGUCAAGUUCAGGGGGAACCAGUAAUGUUGGUUCUGCUUAAAAAAAUAGUGUUGAUUAUUUACUUUGCACAUAUUUGUACCUAUUGCUUUAGUUUAGUAAAUUUGUAAUUUAAUUUCACCAAUUGGAGAGGUAGUAUGAAACUAACUGCUGCCACCGUGUCAGGCGAGAGGGGUUCUUUAGCAAUGAAAAUUGUGAAGAAGGUACUACGUAACCGUAUUAGUAACAAGUUCAUGAAUGAUUGUCAUUUGUUUUGUUGAGUCACCCUAUCUAGAUACAACCCCAAACAAUAUUAUUUUAUAUUGUUCAUUUCCAGAAGAUGAAAGAUCGUAAACAUAAAAUGCUUCCAUGAGAGGGAAGCACAAGUACUUAUAAUACUUUUUUUAAAAUCUACGUACUUAGUACUGCUACCUGUUAUUAAAACUAUCUGACAUGUUGUAUUUACAUGUUUUCAGUAGGACGAGCACUUAGUGGAACAGGUGAUUUAGACUAUGCUCCUUCAAUUUUGUUUUUGUACAUUUUGAUGGUACUCUGUAAAAAACAGAACCGGUUUCUUGCUCCUGAUUGGUACUCUAUGCAAACAAUCGCUUCCCCAAUUUGAUACCCUUUUUCUUUCACUUCUGCAACUUGGAAGGAACAGUUCAAAAUGGAUGGAGAUGUGUUUUGUUUGCAUGUUUUGCAUUUCAGGUGACUAACUACACAAACUGUUCAUGGAGUGGUCAAAUGUCUGCUUAACACAAAUUGCACAGGCAAAUCAGACGGCAUCUAUUUGGCUAUGUUUGCUUGUGAUUCUGUUUGUUUGAUCUGAAAGCACCAUGCGUGUUCUUGAUUUAUUGGUUAAAUCUCUAUAACAUAUGGUUGAUAAAUGUCCAGAUGCAUUAUUAUCAGUGCUCUGUAGCUUUUCUUAUGCAGCUUAAUAGCGAAAUAUAUUGUAACCAAGGUUUUUUUUUUUGGGUUGUCGAUUAAUUUCUUCCUGUACAGUUAAAAUUUUCAAUUUUCUGGAACUCAAUUUAGCGUACACAUUUGACCUCUACAAUUUUUGUGUUUGCAUAUUCAGUAAAUCGGUACCCUUGGAUAUACACAGAAGUGAGUAUGCUCUUGGAUUUGCUAGACUAAUGUCAAAUUGUUUAUGUGCCAUGUAGCCCAUUGUAUGCAUAUCUGGUUUACAGAGAACUGGUCCCUAGAUGCCCAUAUCGUCCAAACUCCAGUGUUUUAUCAUUCUUUCUAGCUCCUACAUCAGAAACUUCUAAGUUUGUUCAUGGGAUAUUGUAAUGAUAUGGUUAUCCUCAUGGAACUAAUUAAAAUUAGAUUACUAUGUGCACAUGUACAUAGCCAGGUCAACAUUAAAGUAUGCUUUUCAUGAUUGGUUGCAUACAUAAGUUAAUUAAUGUUGUGCCUUUUUACUUGCAGCAAAAAAGGUGCUCCAUGUAAGGGACUUUGGGGGGUGCUCUGAUGGCAUUCGGUUUAGAGAUUUGAAAGGAUUUGUGCUUGCACAGGUGUGAGCUAUUGUGUUCUUUGGAUUUCGUACUAAUUCUCGAACUAAGUUAUUUUGUGCUGGUUCAUGUCUAUGUACUGACUGUAGUUUUGUAGCUUUUUUCUGCUACUUUCAGAUUUUAGAAUCAGUAAUUUGUUGUUCCAUGAGCAAUCAUGCUAUGAUAAAUGUAAAAGAGACAGAGUGGUUCUAUUCCUGUAUGUAUCCGAAACAUUGGUCACACCAAAAAUGUUACUCUAUCGAUCUUGUUUUUCUUAGGCUCA